GAUGGAUCUUCAGGAGAGAAAUGAGAGGCUAUUUUACAAGCUUCUUAUGGAAAAUGUGGAAGAGCUUCUCCCGGUAGUUUAUACUCCGACAGUAGGCGAAGCAUGCCAGAAGUAUGGUAGCAUCUUCAGACGACCUCAAGGACUUUUUAUCAGUUUGAAAGAAAAAGGCAAAAUUCUUGAGGUACUAAAGAAUUGGCCUGAGAAGAAAAUUCAAGUUAUUGUCGUAACUGAUGGAGAACGAAUAUUAGGCCUUGGAGACUUAGGUUGCCAGGGAAUGGGGAUACCA
rnacentral:misc_RNA from 1 species